GACGAACCGUGCGAACGUUAUUCGGAAUCACUGGGCUUAAAGAGCUCGUAGGUGGUUUGUCGCGUUGUUCGUGAAAACUCACAGCUUAACUGUGGGCGUGCGGGCGAUACGGGCAGACUUGAGUACUGCAGGGGAGACUGGAAUUCCUGGUGUAGCGGUGGAAUGCGCAGAUAUCAGGAGGAACACCGGUGGCGAAGGCGGGUCUCUGGGCAGUAACUGACGCUGAGGAGCGAAAGCGUGGGGAGCGAACAGG
rnacentral:rRNA from 1 species